UCCAAAAUCGAUUUAAUUCAUCAUUUCCCUCAACUUUCUAAGCACAAUGCUCCAUGAUGAAAACGCACAUGUAAGUACUGUAGUAUGGCUUUAUUUUUAUUUAUUUAUUUAUUUUUGUCUUUACGAGCUAUGAAUCAUACUUUGUUUGAAUAAUUGUCAGGGGCUGGGUCUGUGACCCAGCGUUUUGAGUUUGUUCUGUACUUUUGACUUUCUUAUGUUAAGUUUGUGAUUUUAAGUUCUUGAAUUAUUCUUAUUUAUGGUUGAGUUAGCUUUGGUUUAGCCAUUACUAUCAACUGUCUCCUUGGUUUAUGUGUUUUCUUUUGUUCCGUCUGUCAUGUGUUUUAUGUCUGUGUGUUCCAUAUUGUCAGGCUUGUGUUGUCAUGUCUCCGUGUUUCCUGUUUUAUUUUGAAAAAUCUUGGGUGUCCUGUGUCUUCUAUGCUGAAUGUGUUUAGUUGUACUUUUUUCCCUGUGAUGUCAUUAUGUUCAUUAGUGCCAGCUUUUCCCCAGGCGUUUCGACUUCCCUCAUUACCCCUCUGUGGAUUUAGUCUGUGUGUUUUCAUUCAGUCUUUGUCAGAUAAUCUGUGUUUCUUACCUCCAUGUAACAUUAAGCUCACGUAUUUCAUGAUUCAACUCAGGUCAUGCUCAUGUUCCAUGUUUAUGUUUUUUCCUCAUAGCUUCUUACAUGCUCCUGCCCUGAAUCAUGUUCAUGUCUUUUGUCAUAGUUGUCAUAGUUUAGUUUCUUCCAGUUUAGGUUUUAGUUUAGUUUUCGUCCUUGUUCACUUUAUCUUGUUAUUUGUACUCAUGUAAUCACCCUUAACAAAGGGCUUUUUGUUCAUUUUACAUUCAUCUUUUUGUCUGCAUUUGGGUCCACUAUUUGCUCAACAUACAGUCAGUGGACAAUAAUGUUCUUAUAAAUAAACAAAUGUAUCGUUAUCUUGUUAAUUACUUGUUAAUUACUUAGUCAGCAGCUUUAUGUUCUGGUGGGAUUUGUGAAUCUAUGUGCACAACAACUGGUCUAAACUACUAGUUUCUUUCCUGAACUGCACCUCAGGCCCCAAUUCACUCAAUUCAGUCUUUCUCUACCUCACCAGAGACAGAGAUCUCUUCAAAUCCCCCCCCCCAUGCUUUGAGGAAAUUGAGAUGCUGCUUCCUGGACCUCAAGCAAAUUCUCUCGUAAUAACCUACCAAGAACCAGAAGCUUCGCUCACAGGAGGGUAUUUGGUUGUGGACUGAUGGGAGCCGUUUCGACUACAGACGCUGGUGCAGUUGGGAGCCAAAUAAUAUGUUCUUUCAGCAUUGUCUUCAGAUGAAUUAUA